UGGGGAAUAUUGCACAAUGGGCGCAAGCCUGAUGCAGCCAUGCCGCGAGUGUGAAGAAGGCCUUCGGGUUGUAAAGCACUUUCAGCGGGGAGGAAGGCGGUGAGGUUAAUAACCUCACCGCUUGACGUUACCCGCAGAAGAAGCACCGGCUAACUCCGUGCCAGCAGCCGCGGUAAUACGGAGGGUGCAAGCGUUAAUCGGAAUUACUGGGCGUAAAGCGCACGCAGGCGGUCUGUCAAGUCGGGUGUGAAAUCCCCGGGCUCAACCUGGGAACUGCAUUCGAAACUGGCAGGCUAGAGUCUUGUAGAGGGGGGUAGAAUUCCAGGUGUAGCGGUGAAAUGCGUAGAGAUCUGGAGGAAUACCGGUGGCGAAGGCGGCCCCCUGGACAAAGACUGACGCUCAGGUGCGAAAGCGUGGGGAGCAAACAG
rnacentral:rRNA from 1 species